rnacentral:rRNA from 1 species
GUGCCACAGCCGCGGUAAUACGGAGGGUGCGAGCGUUGUCCGGAAUCACUGGGCGUAAAGGGCGCGUAGGCGGUGACUUAAGCGUGUGGUGAAAGCCCGGGGCUCAACCCCGGGUCUGCCGUGCGAACUGGGUCACUUGAGCACUGUAGAGGCAGGUGGAAUUCCGGGUGUAGCGGUGGAAUGCGUAGAGAUCCGGAAGAACACCAGUGGCGAAGGCGGCCUGCUGGGCAGUAGCUGACGCUGAGGCGCGACAGCGUGGGGAGCAAACAGG